AGUGAACGCUGGCGGUAGGCCUAACACAUGCAAGUCGAACGGCAGCACAGUAAGAGCUUGCUCUUACGGGUGGCGAGUGGCGGACGGGUGAGGAAUACAUCGGAAUCUACUUUUUCGUGGGGGAUAACGUAGGGAAACUUACGCUAAUACCGCAUACGACCUACGGGUGAAAGCAGGGGAUCUUCGGACCUUGCGCGAUUGAAUGAGCCGAUGUCGGAUUAGCUAGUUGGCGGGGUAAAGGCCCACCAAGGCGACGAUCCGUAGCUGGUCUGAGAGGAUGAUCAGCCACACUGCAACUGAGACACGGUCCAGACUCCUACGGGAGGCGGCAGUGGGGAAUAUUGGACAAUGGGCGCAAGCCUGAUCCAGCCAUACCGCGUGGGUGAAGAAGGCCUUCGGGUUGUAAAGCCCUUUUGUUGGGAAAGAAAAGCAGCAGGUUAAUACCCCGCUGUUCUGACGGUACCCAAAGAAUAAGCACCGGCUAACUUCGUG
rnacentral:rRNA from 1 species